AACGCUCGUAGUCGGAUUUCGGGGCGGGCUGCUUGGUCUGCCGAUGGGUAUGCACUGGGUGGCGCGUCCUUCCUUCCGGAGACCGCGCCUACUCUUAACUGAGCGGGCGCGGGAGACGGAACGUUUACUUUGAAAAAAUCAGAGUGUUUCAAGCAGGCAUCUCGCUCUUGCAUGGAUUAGCAUGGGAUAAUGAAAUAGGACUUUGGUGCUAUUUUGUUGGUUUCGAACACCGAAGUAAUGAUUAACAGGGACAGUCAGGGGCACUCGUAUUCCGUCGAGAGAGGUGAAAUUCUCAGACCAACGGAAGACGAACCACUGCGAAAGCAUUUGCCAGGGAUGUUUUCACUGAUCAAGAACGAAAGUUAGGGGAUCGAAGACGAUCAGAUACCGUCGUAGCCUUAACCAUAAACCAUGCCGACUAGGGAUUCGAGGGUGUUCCAUCUGUGACCCCUUGAGCACCUUUCGGGAAACUAAAGUCUUUGGGUUCCGGGGGGAGUAUGGUCGCAAGGCUGAAACUUAAAGGAAUUGACGGAAGGGCACCACCAGGAGUGGAGCCUGCGGCUUAAUUUGACUCAACACGGGGAAACUUACCAGGUCCAGACAUUGUGAGGAUUGACAGAUUGAGAGCUCUUUCUUGAUUCAAUGGGUGGUGGUGCAUGGCCGUUCUUAGUUGGUGGAGUGAUUUGUCUGGUUAAUUCCGUUAACGAACGAGACCGCAGCCUGCUAAAUAGUUACGCGAACCUUCCGUUCGUGGCCAACUUCUUAGAGGGACAACUUGUCUUCAACAAGUGGAAGUUUGCGGCAAUAACAGGUCUGUGAUG
rnacentral:rRNA from 1 species